rnacentral:misc_RNA from 1 species
GAUGAAGAACGUAGCGAAAUGCGAUAAGUAAUGCGAAUUGCAGAAUUUCCGUGAGUCAUCGAAUCUUUGAACGCACAUUGCGCCCGCCAGCACUCUGGCGGGCAUGCCUGUCCGAGCGUCAUUUCGACCCUCGCGGCCCCCCCGGGGGCCGCGGUGUUGGGGGACGGCGGCCCCGCCGCCCCCGAAACGCAGUGGCGACCCCGCCGCAGCCUCCCCUGCGCAGUAGCACACCUCGCACCGGAGCGCGGAGGCGGUCACGCCGUAAAACGCCCAACUCCCCUAGAGUUGACCUCGGAUCAGGUAGGGAUACCCGCUGAACUUAAGCAUAUCAAUAAGCGGAGGA